rnacentral:rRNA from 1 species
GAUGAACGCUGGCGGCGUGCCUAAUACAUGCAAGUCGAGCGAACGGACGAGAAGCUUGCUUCUCUGAUGUUAGCGGCGGACGGGUGAGUAACACGUGGAUAACCUACCUAUAAGACUGGGAUAACUUCGGGAAACCGGAGCUAAUACCGGAUAAUAUUUUGAACCGCAUGGUUCAAAAGUGAAAGACGGUCUUGCUGUCACUUAUAGAUGGAUCCGCGCUGCAUUAGCUAGUUGGUAAGGUAACGGCUUACCAAGGCAACGAUGCAUAGCCGACCUGAGAGGGUGAUUGGCCACACUGGAACUGAGACACGGUCCAGACUCCUACGGGAGGCAGCAGUAGGGAAUCUUCCGCAAUGGGCGAAAGCCUGACGGAGCAACGCCGAGUGAGUGAUGAAGGUCUUCGGAUCGUAAAACUCUGUUAUUAGGGAAGAACAUAUGUGUAAGUAACUGUGCACAUCUUGACGGUACCUAAUCAGAAAGCCACGGCUAACUACGUG